AUGUCACCGUCUCUGCUCGGGGGGCUCACCAAGUCGCUGGCCAUGACUGUGCUCUCCGAGGUCGGCGACAAGACCUUCUUCAUCGCCGCGGUACCCCACCCCACCUCACCUCCUCUCGCCUUCCACAUGUUCCUAGUUGCCAACUUCCUUGCCCGUUUCAAGUCGAUCCCUAGUAUCAUUGAGCUCGAUAGCUUGAAGGUCUCUGGUGAUGUCUUGUUUGGCUCUACAGUCGUGCUCAAGGGCAACGUGACCAUCGCAGCCAAGGCUGGAGUCAAGUUGGAGAUCCCAGAUGGAGCUGUGCUCGAGAACAAGGACAUCAACGGCCCGGAGGAUCUUUGA
rnacentral:rRNA from 1 species